rnacentral:rRNA from 1 species
UACGAAGGGGGCGAGCGUUGUUCGGAGUUACUGGGCGUAAAGGGCGCGUAGGCGGCGAUCCAAGUUAGGCGUGAAAGCCCCGGGCUUAACCUGGGAAUGGCGUUUGGGACUGGGAGUCUGGAGUGCGGCAGAGGAGACUGGAAUUCCUGGUGUAGCAGUGAAAUGCGUAGAUAUCAGGAGGAACACCGAUGGCGAAGGCAGGUCUCUGGGCUGACACUGACGCUCAUGCACGAAAGCGUGGGGAGCAAACAGG